CGCCCACCCUCUGUAGCUGCAUAA
rnacentral:siRNA from 1 species